rnacentral:rRNA from 1 species
GAAUCCCACAGGCCGUAAACCCAAGGUUUCCAGGGGAAGGUUCGUCCGCCCUGGGUUAGUCGGGACCUAAGCUGAGGCCGAAAGGCGUAGGUGAUGGACAACAGGUUGAUAUUCCUGUACUACCGAUAACCGUUUGAGAGAAGGGAUGACACAGUAGGAUAAGCUAAGCACACUGUUGGUUAUGUGUGCCCAAGCAUUGAGGCAGUCAAAGUAGGCAAAUCCGCUUUGAUAAUGCUAGGAUGUGAUGGGGAGCGAAAUUUAGUAGCGAAGUAGCUGAUUUCACACUGUCAAGAAAAGUCUCUAUCGAGGUUAAAGGUACCCGUACCGCAAACCGACACAGGUGGGUGAGGAGAGUAUCCUAAGGCCAGCGAGAGAACUGUUGUUAAGGAACUCGGCAAAAUGACCCCGUAACUUAGGGAUAAGGGGUGCCACCAUCAGGUGGCCGCAGAGAAUAGGCCCAAGCGACUGUCUACCAAAAACAUAGGUUUCUGCUAAGUCGCAAGACGAUGUAUAGGAGCUGACGCCUGCCCGGUGCUGGAAGGUUAAGGGGAUCUGUUAGAGCAAUCGAAGCAGUGAACUUAAGCCCCAGUAAACGGCGGCCGUAACUAUAACGGUCCUAAGGUAGCGAAAUUCCUUGUCGGGUAAGUUCCGACCCGCACGAAAGGCGUAACGAUUUGGGCACUGUCUCAACAACAGACUCGGUGAAAUUGUAAUUCCGGUGAAGAUGCCGGAUACCUGCGACAGGACGGAAAGACCCCAUGGAGCUUUACUGUAGCUUGACAUUGGGUCUUGGUACUACAUGUACAGGAUAGGUGGGAGGCUUUGAAACCAGGACGCCAGUUUUGGCGGAGCCAUCCUUGGGAUACCACCCUUGUAGUACUGGGACUCUAACCAUAGGCCAUGAAUCUGGUCUUGGGACACUGUCAGGUGGGCAGUUUGACUGGGGCGGUCGCCUCCCAAAAGGUAACGGAGGCGCUCAAAGGUUCUCUCAGUACGGUCGGAAAUCGUACGUAGAGUGUAAAGGCAAAAGAGAGCUUGAUUGCAAGACAUACAGGUCGAGCAAGGAUGAAAAUCGGACUUAGUGAUCCGGUGGUUCUGCGUGGAAGGGCCAUCGCUCAACGGAUAAAAGCUACCCUGGGGAUAACAGGCUUAUCUCCCCCAAGAGUCCACAUCGACGGGGAGGUUUGGCACCUCGAUGUCGGCUCAUCACAUCCUGGGGCUGUAGUAGGUCCCAAGGGUUGGGCUGUUCGCCCAUUAAAGUGGUACGCGAGCUGGGUUCAGAACGUCGUGAGAGAGUUCGGUCCCUAUCCGUCGCAGGCGUAGGAAAUUUGAGAAGACCUGUCCUUAGUACGAGAGGACCGGGAUGGACGUACCUCUGGUGUACCAGUUGUUCUGCCAAGGGCAUGGCUGGGUAGCUAUGUAUGGAAUGGAUAAGCGCUGAAAGCAUCUAAGCGCGAAGCCAACUUCAAGAUAAGAUUUCCCACCGCAAGGGUAAGACCCCAGAAAGACUAUCUGGUUGAUAGGUCGAAGGUGUAAGUGCAGCAAUGUAUUUAGCUUAUCGAUACUAAUAGGUCGAGGACUUGACCA